rnacentral:rRNA from 1 species
GACGAACGCUGGCGGCGUGCUUAACACAUGCAAGUCGAACGAAAAGAGGGAAAGAGCUUGCUCUUUCCGGAAUUGAGUGGCAAACGGGUGAGUAACACGUAAACAACCUGCCUUCAGGAUGGGGACAACAGACGGAAACGACUGCUAAUACCGAAUAAGUUCCAAGGGCCGCAUGGCCCAUGGAAGAAAAGGUGGCCUCUACCUGUAAGCUAUCGCCUGAAGAGGGGUUUGCGUCUGAUUAGCUGGUUGGAGGGGUAACGGCCCACCAAGGCGACGAUCAGUAGCCGGUCUGAGAGGAUGAACGGCCACACUGGAACUGAGACACGGUCCAGACUCCUACGGGAGGCAGCAGUGGGGAAUCUUCCGCAAUGGGCGAAAGCCUGACGGAGCAACGCCGCGUGAGUGAUGACGGCCUUCGGGUUGUAAAACUCUGUGAUCCGGGACGAAAAGGCAGAGUGCGAAGAACAAACUGCAUUGACGGUACCGGAAAAGCAAGCC